rnacentral:rRNA from 1 species
AUUGAACGCUGGCGGCAGGCCUAACACAUGCAAGUCGAGCGGAUGAAGGGAGCUUGCUCCUGGAUUCAGCGGCGGACGGGUGAGUAAUGCCUAGGAAUCUGCCUGGUAGUGGGGGAUAACGUCCGGAAACGGGCGCUAAUACCGCAUACGUCCUGAGGGAGAAAGUGGGGGAUCUUCGGACCUCACGCUAUCAGAUGAGCCUAGGUCGGAUUAGCUAGUUGGUGGGGUAAAGGCCUACCAAGGCGACGAUCCGUAACUGGUCUGAGAGGAUGAUCAGUCACACUGGGACUGAGACACGGUCCAGACUCCUACGGGAGGCAGCAGUGGGGAAUAUUGGACAAUGGGCGAAAGCCUGAUCCAGCCACGCCGCGUGUGUGAAGAAGGUCUUCGGAUUGUAAAGCACUUUAAGUUGGGAGGAAGGGCAGUAAGUUAAUACCUUGCUGUUUUGACGUUACCAACAGAAUAAGCACCGGCUAACUUCGUG